rnacentral:rRNA from 1 species
UGCAAGCGUUAUCCGGAUUCACUGGGUUUAAAGGGUGCGUAGGCGGAUAGGGAAGUCCGUGGUGAAAUCCUGCAGCUUAACUGCAGAACUGCCGUGGAUACUCUCUAUCUUGAAUAUCGUGGAGGUUAGCGGAAUAUGUCAUGUAGCGGUGAAAUGCUUAGAUAUGACAUAGAACACCCAUUGCGAAGGCAGCUAACUACGCGAUCAUUGACGCUGAUGCACGAAAGCGUGGGGAUCAAACAGGAUUAGAUACCCUGGUAGUCCACGCCCUAAACGAUGAUUACUCGACAUUGGUGAUACACAGUCAGUGUCUGAGCGAAAGCAUUAAGUAAUCCACCUGGGAAGUACGAUCGCAAGAUUG